CUCCUCAGAUGACCAGAAAGAUGGACCAAAACUCUUUUAAAACAGAAGGUACAGGAUUUUAUAAAGAGGACAUCAUGUAUAGUUUCCUCCCCCCUCAAUAUCCAUUUUAUGUCAAGGAAAGAUUGAGGAAUCUGGAUAUUCAGAGAGAAAGCAGAGUGAGAUGUCAUUGUGUGGUAUUUAAGGAGAGUUGCUCUGUGGCACAGACCAGAGGAGGGAUGCUGUGACCAAUUAUGGCAUCAGGCGGAGACCGUGCUUCCUGCCCAGCGUGCUCCUGCUCCUGAGCAGCUGCCAUUGGUCACUAGGAACCUUCAAAGGGCUUAAGUGAUUAUACUAGUUGAAAGCAUGUUGGGUUCAAGGAUUUAUAAUAUUCUUUAAAAGGACAAUAAAUUCCAGGUUAAACAGAGGGAGUGCCCUAGUGUGUGCCUCGAUAUUAGCAGUUCUUUAAAUCUUUCUCCAAAUGGUAAUUUCUCUAAAAUUUGAGACAUAAACAUUAGGUAAUGGAGUGUCAGGCAAAUAUUUAAACAGUUUGAAUGAAUUGAUUGCAUCCUAGCCCUACUACUUCCUAACUGGGUAUCCUUAGGCAAUUACUUAAAUUUUUCUCUGACUUAAUUUUCUCAUCUAUAAAAUGCAGUUAACAAUGGCUCCUACCUCUUAGGGUUUUUGUGAGUGCUAAAUGAGUUAACAUAAGUCAAGUGCUUAGAAAAGCAUCUGGCGAAUAGUGACACUGUACAUGAGUUAGCAGCCACGAUGGUAGUGUUCGUGUUGUCAUUCCUCUUUCUCUUCCUUCCUCCGGCAUUUGUACAAGUGUGGGCUUUCUCCCAAUCCAGUCAUUCACUCCUUCAGAAGAGCCAUUCUUUCAGACCUGUGUUUUAUAACCCAAGAUCUUACAAUCUAUUCCUGGCUGGUCGGUAUGCCACCAGCUUCGUGAGCGUACGUUAUUUCUGACCAGUCUCUGGAAGCAGGACUUCUAAGUUCACCCUCAGUUCAGUAAUGAUAAUUAUUUUUCUCUGGUUAUCCCUGAGCUGAGUUAUUGCUAGAAGACCCUCUUAGAACAUGUUUAUCUGUUACAGGUUCCUUAAGAAAUAGAUUUUAAUAAAUCAUUAUUGCAACUCCAUGGGGUGUUAUGAACAACAUUUGUGGGCGUUUGGUUUAUCUAUAUAGUAUUGUGUUAGAAAUUGUGGGGAAGAAGGCAAAAAGAUAUUACAACUUAGUUGGGAGGAUGUAACAAAUGCCUCCAAAAGGCUAAGUAGCAUUAAGAGGGAACAUUAGUAAGGAGCCAAGGGAGAGACGGAUAAGGAGACAAGAAUGCCUGCCUCCAGUCCUGAGGGAAAAAACAUUCAUAGAAAUAUGAAAGGCAGGUCCUCAAAAGACAGUUUUAUGUUGAGAAAUAAUUGAAUAGCAAGUUGGUAAGCUAGAGAGAGAAUCAAUUAUAUGGGAAGAAUGAAAUUUGUUAACUGUGAGGUUGAAUGUCUACAGCACAUCAAAUUAACUUUAUGUCUCAAGCAUUGAUUCUACCAACUAAAUCUCAAUAGGAAGCUCCCUAACUGGUGAACAUCAUCAAGGCUCUGGUGGCAGGUGCAGAUCAAAGCUUCGAGGAACUCCUGGAAACCCUGAAAAAAAGACAGAAACCAGGAACUUCUUCAUCAAAUCAGAUUCACGAUGUGCCCAGUGACCCUGCUGAUGAAUAUUUUAGACAUCUGCAUGAAUAAUCAGACUGCCCACAGGAGAGCCACUUGCUUGUUUGUGAGGCUGGAAAUGCUAGCUGGAUGAUGCUGACUCGAGUUCUGUGUACCAACGUGAAAAUAAUAAAUACCUAAGUAAAUUCUUAA